UACGGGGGGAGCAAGCGUUGUUCGGAUUUACUGGGCGUAAGGCGGCGUAGCGGUCAGCACAAGUCAGUUGUGAAAUCUCCGGGCUUAACUCGGAAAGGUCAACUGAUACUGUGCGACUAGAGUGCGGAAGGGGCAACUGGAAUUCUCGGUGUAGCGGUGAAAUGCGUAGAUAUUGAGAGGAACACCUGCGGCGAAGGCGGGUUGCUGGGCCGACACUGACGCUGAUGCGCGAAAGCGUGGGGAGCGAACAGG
rnacentral:rRNA from 1 species